rnacentral:rRNA from 1 species
CCUACGGGUGGCAGCAGUGAGGAAUAUUGGUCAAUGGACGAGAGUCUGAACCAGCCAAGUAGCGUGAAGGAUGACUGCCCUAUGGGUUGUAAACUUCUUUUAUAAAGGAAUAAAAUGCGUCACGUGUGCCUUUUUGCAUGUACUUUAUGAAUAAGGAUCGGCUAACUCCGUGCCAGCAGCCGCGGUAAUACGGAGGAUGCGAGCGUUAUCCGGAUUUAUUGGGUUUAAAGGGUGCGUAGUCGGGCUGUUAAGUCAGCGUGCAAAUGUCGGGGCUCAACCCAGGCCUGCCGUUGAAACUGGCGGCCUGGAGUAGGGGAGAGGUAGGCGGAAUGCGUGGUGUAGCGGUGAAAUGCAUAGAUAUCACGAAGAACUCCGAUUGCGAAGGCAGCAUACCGGAGCGCAACUGACGCUGAGGCACGAAAGCGUGGGUAUCGAACAGGAUUAGAUACCCCAGUAGUC